AGCAAUAUUGAGUCCUUGCCCGCAACCUUACCUCAGAGGUGACAGUGCCAUGAAAUCAGAAGUCUUCAGAACCCUUCAGCCAGCAGCUGUGACUAUUCCUGGCCCUUCCCUCAGGAGGAAAGAAGAGGGGCUGCUGGCCUGUGGGAUGUGUGUAGAAACACCUCCUUAAAGACAUAUAUCCUGAGAAAAGAAGCCAGAUUCUUCAUGGUCAAGUUUUCCCCAAAGCUUUUGUAAUAAACUGAGCAGUAGCUUUCCAUAGAAAAGCUAUCGGGUUGUGGCUCUGUUAGGUUUUGGGAAUUUUCCCAACCAUUAAAAAAAUUUUUUUUUCUAGAAAAUGUGUUGGGUGGAUGAAAGUAGUUUGUUCAAUAGCAUGAGGUCAUCCAAUCAGAAGGAUCACGCUUCGCCUGGUUUGUUUAGUGUACAUUCAAGGUCACAUAGGCAACCCAGCACAUCUGUUCAUCUUUCCCUUUUGAGGCUUCUCUGUUUCAUUAACCCUUCUCUGGAAAGGAAAAGUCCCGGAAACAAAGCAAGCUGUUACACUUGGCCCACCUUCCAAGGCUUAAGUUUCCUCCUUAUUUUGAUGCAUGGCCAUCACUGAACUGUACUUUAUUUUAUUUUUUUGCUGCUCAUUCUAUCUGUUCUUGGUUUAGUGAACGUUUACUAAGAAAAGAAAAAGCAGUUGUUAACUGUGGGGCAUAUAAUUCAGAUGAAGAGGUCAGAUACACUGUUUAAAAAUGGAGAGACUAAUAUCUUGUCUGCCUUAAAACGCCUUCACUGACCAAACCAAAGGUCUAUCCUUAUGUAUCUCGCUCAUUUGGAAUUUAUUGCAAAGGUAGAAUAAGAAAUGAUUGUUCAUCAGUCUUGAUGUGCUGACAACUAAUAAAACAAUUCAUUCC
rnacentral:lncRNA from 1 species